rnacentral:rRNA from 1 species
AGCUCCAAUAGCGUAUACUAAUGUUGUUGCAGUUAAAAAGCUCGUAGUCGGAUUUCAGUAUUAGGCUCGCCAGUCAUGUGACUGAGUGCGUCUUUACUUCUUUAACAGAAUCUUUCAUCGCAUUAAUUUACGGUGUUUGGGGCCUGUUUCUUUUACUUUGAGAAAAUUAGAGUGUUCAAAGCGGGUUUUCGCCUGGAUAUUACUCUUGGAAUAAUAAUAUAGGACUUUGGUUCUUUUUUGUUGGUGACUUAGAACCGAAGUAAUGAUUGAUAGGGACGGUUGGGGUCAUUCGUACUGCAAAGCGAGAGGUGAAAUUCAUGGACCUUUGUAUGACGAACUACUGCGAAAGCAUUUGACUAGGACGUUCCCG